rnacentral:rRNA from 1 species
UACAGAGGGUGCAAGCGUUAAUCGGAGUUACUGGGCGUAAAGGGCGCGUAGGCGGUUAGUUAAGUGAGAUGUGAAAUCCCUGGGCUUAACCUGGGAACUGCAUCUUAAACUGGUUAGCUAGAGUACUGUAGAGGGUAGUGGAAUUUCCGGUGUAGCGGUGAAAUGCGUAGAGAUCGGAAGGAACACCAGUGGCGAAGGCGGCUACCUGGACGGAUACUGACGCUGAGGCGCGAGAGCGUGGGGAGCGAACCGG